rnacentral:rRNA from 1 species
GCUGUUCGCCAUUUAAAGUGGUACGCGAGCUGGGUUUAGAACGUCGUGAGACAGUUCGGUCCCUAUCUGCCGUGGGCGCUGGAGAACUGAGGGGGGCUGCUCCUAGUACGAGAGGACCGGAGUGGACGCAUCACUGGUGUUCGGGUUGUCAUGCCAAUGGCACUGCCCGGUAGCUAAAUGCGGAAGAGAUAAGUGCUGAAAGCAUCUAAGCACGAAACUUGCCCCGAGAUGAGUUCUCCCUGAGACUUUAGGUCUCCUGAAGGAACGUUGAAGACGACGACGUUGAUAGGCCGGGUGUGUAAGCGCAGCGAUGCGUUGAGCUAACCGGUACUAAUGAACCGUGAGGCUUAACCUUACAACGCCGAAG